rnacentral:rRNA from 1 species
UACGAAGGGGGCUAGCGUUGCUCGGAAUCACUGGGCGUAAAGCGCACGUAGGCGGCGCAGCAAGUCAGGGGGUGAAAUCCCGGAGCUCAACUCCGGAACUGCCCUUGAAACUGCAGUGCUAGAAUCCUGGAGAGGCGAGUGGAAUUCCGAGUGUAGAGGUGAAAUUCGUAGAUAUUCGGAAGAACACCAGUGGCGAAGGCGACUCGCUGGACAGGUAUUGACGCUGAGGUGCGAAAGCGUGGGGAGCAAACAGG